AUCGAACGCUGGCGGCAGGCCUAACACAUGCAAGUCGAGCGGAUGAAGGGAGCUCGCGCCUGGAUUCAGCGGCGGACGGGCGGGUAAUGCCUAGGAGGCUGCCUGGUACAGGGGGAUAACGUACGGAAACGGGCGCUAAUACCUCACACGUCUUGUGUUCGAAACAGGGGGUUUUUCGGACUUCAGGCCGUCAGGCGAGCCUAGGUCGGAUUAGCUAGUUGGUGGGGCAAAGGCCUACCAAGGCGUCGGUCCGUAACGGGUCUGAGAGGGUGAACAGGCACACUGUCACUGAGACACGGUCCAGAGUCCUACGGGAGGCAGCAGUGGGGAAUAUUAGACGAGGGAGGAGAGCCUGAUCCAGCAAAGCCGGGUAAGUGCUGAAGGUCUUCGGAUUGGAAAAGGAUUAAGGUUGGGGGGUAGUACAGUAAGUUAAUACGUUACUGUUUUGACGUUACCAUAUGAAUAAGCACCGGCUAACUACGUG
rnacentral:rRNA from 1 species